GGCUUGGCUUAGUGGUAGAGUGCUUGCCUGGCAUGCAUGAAGCCCUGGGUUCAAUUCCUGAGUACCA
rnacentral:tRNA from 1 species